UCACCCCUCAAGCCCCGCGCUUGGUGUUGGACGGCCGGUCGAGCGAUCGACCCCUCCUAAAGACAAUGACGGCGGCCUGCGGUUCCCCCGGUACACUGAGCUUUUAACCGAGCACGUAUCGGACCAGGGCACCCGGGACCCGGUCCUCUCCCGUAACGGGAAACACUUUUACUAA
rnacentral:misc_RNA from 1 species